AAGUCGUAACAAGGUUUCCGUAGGUGAACCUGCGGAAGGAUCAUUAAUGGAUUUACAGAGGGUUGAUGCUGGUAGUUUAUCUACAUGUGCUCACUCUUCUGAUUUAUUUACACCUGUGCACUUAAUUUUUUUUCAAGGGUCAGGGUAGAACCUGCCUUUGGGACUUAUAAGCCCCUAACCCCUAUUUUGGAACAAUGGAUGUUUAUCUGCCGCAAGGCCAAAUUUUUGAUACAACUUUUAACAACGGAUCUCUUGGCUCUCGCAUCGAUGAAGAACGCAGCGAAAUGCGAUAAGUAAUGUGAAUUGCAGAAUUCAGUGAAUCAUCGAAUCUUUGAACGCAUCUUGCGCUCUCUGGUAUUCCGGGGAGCACACCUGUUCGAGUGUCAUUAAGACUCUCAAAUAAAGGUGGCUUUUGCAGCCAUCUCUGUUUGGACUUGGGCUUUGCUGCAUUAAUGUGGCUAGUCUUAAAUCUAUUAGCUGAUCCUUGUUGGGAUUUUGGUUCUACUCAGUGUGAUAAUUAAUCUAGCAUUGAGGACAGUCUCAGAACUGGCCAUAGCUCUCUCUGGAUUGCUUCUAAAGUGUCUUGGGGACAAUUGCUUAAUUUCUGACCUCGAAUCAGGUGGGACUACCCGCUGAACUUAAGCAUAUCAAUAAGCGGAGGAAAAGAAACUAACAAGGAUUCCCUUAGUAACUGCGAGUGAAGUGGGAUGAGCUCAAAUUUGAAAUCUGGUAGUCCUUGGCUGCCCGAGUUGUAAU
rnacentral:rRNA from 1 species